rnacentral:rRNA from 1 species
GACGAACGCUGGCGGCGUGCUUAACACAUGCAAGUCGAACGGAAAGGCCCUGCUUGCAGGGUACUCGAGUGGCGAACGGGUGAGUAACACGUGGGUGAUCUGCCCUGCACUUCGGGAUAAGCCUGGGAAACUGGGUCUAAUACCGGAUAGGAGCCAUUAUCAGAGAGAUGGUUGGAAAGGUUUUUCGGUGUAGGAUGAGCUCGCGGCCUAUCAGCGUGUUGGUGGGGGAAUGGCCUACCAAGGCGGCGACGGGUAGCCGGCCUGAGAGGGUGGACGGCCACAGUGGGACUGGGAUACGGCCCAGACUCCUACGGGAGGCAGAAGUGGGGAAGAGUGCACAAUGGGAGCAAGCCUGAUGCAGCGACGCCGCGUGGGGGAUGACGGCCUUCGGGUUGUAAACUCCUUUCGCUAGGGACGAAGCUUUUUGUGACGGUACCUAGAUAAGAAGCACCGGCUAACUACGUG